UGGGGAAUUUUGGACAAUGGGCGAAAGCCUGAUCCAGCAAUGCCGCGUGUGUGAAGAAGGCCUUCGGGUUGUAAAGCACUUUUGUCCGGAAAGAAAUCCUUGGCUCUAAUACAGUCGGGGGAUGACGGUACCGGAAGAAUAAGCACCGGCUAACUACGUGCCAGCAGCCGCGGUAAUACGUAGGGUGCAAGCGUUAAUCGGAAUUACUGGGCGUAAAGCGUGCGCAGGCGGUUUGCUAAGACCGAUGUGAAAUCCCCGGGCUCAACCUGGGAACUGCAUUGGUGACUGGGCAGGCUAGAGUAUGGCAGAGGGGGGUAGAAUUCCACGUGUAGCAGUGAAAUGCGUAGAGAUGUGGAGGAAUACCGAUGGCGAAGGCAGCCCCUGGCCAAGUACUGACGCUCAUGCACGAAAAGCGUGGGGGAGCAAAACAGGAUUAGAUACCCUGGUAGUCCACGCCCUAAAACGAUGUCAACUAGUUUGUUGGGGGAUUUCAUUUUCCUUAGUAACGUAGCUAACGCGUGAAGUUGACCGCCUGGGGGA
rnacentral:rRNA from 1 species